rnacentral:rRNA from 1 species
UACGUAGGGGGCAAGCGUUGUCCGGAUUUAUCGGGCGUAAAGAGCGUGUAGGCGGCCAUACAGGUCAGCUGUGAAAACUCGAGGCUCAACCUCGAGACGUCGGUUGAAACCGUAUGGCUAGAGUCCGGAAGAGGAGAGUGGAAUUCCCGGUGUAGCGGUGAAAUGCGCAGAUAUCGGGAAGAACACCCGUGGCGAAGGCGGCUCUCUGGGACGGUACUGACGCUGAGACGCGAAAGCGUGGGGAGCGAACAGG